GGGACACGUGGUAUCCUGUCUGAAUAUGGGGGGACCAUCCUCCAAGGCUAAAUACUCCUGACUGACCGAUAGUGAACCAGUACCGUGAGGGAAAGGCGAAAAGAACCCCGGCGAGGGGAGUGAAAAAGAACCUGAAACCGUGUACGUACAAGCAGUGGGAGCACCUUCGGGUGUGACUGCGUACCUUUUGUAUAAUGGGUCAGCGACUUAUAUUCUGUAGCAAGGUUAACCGUAUAGGGGAGCCGCAGGGAAACCGAGUCUUAACUGGGCGUUAAGUUGCAGGGUAUAGACCCGAAACCCGGUGAUCUAGCCAUGGGCAGGUUGAAGGUUGGGUAACACUAACUGGAGGACCGAACCGACUAAUGUUGAAAAAUUAGCGGAUGACUUGUGGCUGGGGGUGAAAGGCCAAUCAAACCGGGAGAUAGCUGGUUCUCCCCGAAAGCUAUUUAGGUAGCGCCUCGUGAAUUCAUCUUCGGGGGUAGAGCACUGUUUCGGCUAGGGGGUCAUCCCGACUUACCAACCCGAUGCAAACUACGAAUACCGAAGAAUGUUAUCACGGGAGACACACGGCGGGUGCUAACGUCCGUCGUGAAGAGGGAAACAACCCAGACCGCCAGCUAAGGUCCCAAAGUCAUGGUUAAGUGGGAAACGAUGUGGGAAGGCACAGACAGCCAGGAUGUUGGCUUAGAAGCAGCCAUCAUUUAAAGAAAGCGUAAUAGCUCACUGGUCGAGUCGGCCUGCGCGGAAGAUGUAACGGGGCUAAACCAUGCACCGAAGCUGCGGCAGCGACACUAUGUGUUGUUGGGUAGGGGAGCGUUCUGUAAGCCUGCGAAGGUGUGCUGUGAGGCAUGCUGGAGGUAUCAGAAGUGCGAAUGCUGACAUAAGUAACGAUAAAGCGGGUGAAAAGCCCGCUCGCCGGAAGACCAAGGGUUCCUGUCCAACGUUAAUCGGGGCAGGGUGAGUCGACCCCUAAGGCGAGGCCGAAAGGCGUAGUCGAUGGGAAACAGGUUAAUAUUCCUGUACUUGGUGUUACUGCGAAGGGGGGACGGAGAAGGCUAUGUUAGCCGGGCGACGGUUGUC
rnacentral:rRNA from 1 species